GGGUUGUGAGGUUAAGGACUAAGCGUACACGGUGGAUGCCCGCAGUCAGAGGCGAUGAAGGACGUGCUAAUCUGCGAUAAGCGUCAGUGAGGUGAUAUGAACCGUUAUAACCGGCGAUUUCCGAAUGAUGAAACCCAGUGUGAUUCGUCACACCAUCAUUAACUGAAUCCAUAGGUUAAUGAGGCGAACCAGGGAACUGAAACAUCCUAGAAGUACCCCGAGGAAAAGAAAUCAACCGAGAUUCCCCAGUAGCGGCGUGAGCGAACGGGGAGGAGCCCAGAGCCUGAAUCAGUGUGUGUUAGUGAAGCGUCUGGAAGGCUGUGCGAUACAGGGUGACAGCCCUGGGUACACAAAAUGCACAUAUUGUGAGUCUGAUGAGUAGGGCAGGGACACGUGGUAUCCUGUCUGAAUAUGGGGACCAUCCUCAGGAGCUAAAUAAUUCUGACUGACCGAUAGUGGAACCAAUACCGUAGGGAAAGGCGAAAAGAACCCUGGCGAGGGAGUGAAAAAGAACCUGAAACCGUGUACGUACAAGCAGUGGGAAUAUCUUAAUGGGGUGACUGCGUACCUUUGUAUAAUGGUCAGCGACUUAUAUUCUGUAGCAAGGUUAACCGAAUGGGGAGCCGAAGGAAACUGAGUCUUAACUGGGCGUUGGUUGCAGGGUAUAGACCCGAAACCCGGUGAUUCAGCCACAAGGUUGGAAGGUUGGGUAACACUAACUGAGGACCGAACCGACUAAUGUUGAAAAAUUAGCGGAUGACUUUGCUGGGGUGAAAGGCCAAUCAAACCGGGAGAUAGCUGGUUCUCCCCAAAAAGCUAUUUAGGUAGCGGCCUCGUGAAUUCAUCUCCGGGUAGAGCACUGUUUCGGCAAGGGGGUCAUCCCGACUUAUCAACCCGACAGCAAACUGCGAAUACCGGAGAAUGUUAUCACGGGAGACACACGCGGGUGCUAACGUCCGUCGUGAAGAGGGAAAUAACCCAGACCGCCAGCUAAGGUCCCAAAGUCAUGGUUAAGGGGAACGAUGUAAAGGCCGUAGACAGCCGGGAUGUUGGCUUAGAAGCAGCCAUCAUUUAAAGAAAGCGUAAUAGCUCACUGGUCGAGUCGGCCUGCGCGGAAGAUGUAACAGGGCUAAACCAUGCACCGAAGCUGCGGCAGCGACACUAUGUGUUGUUGGGUAGGGAGCGUUCUGUAAGCCUGUGAAGGUGGCCCUGUGGAGGUUGCUGGGAGGUAUCAGAAGCGCGAAUGCUGACAUAAGUAACGAUAAAGCGGGCGAAAAGCCCGCCUCGCCGGAAGACCAAGGCCCUGGGUCCAAACGCCAAUCGGGGCAGGGUGAGCCGACCCCCGCGAGGCUGAAAGGCGUAGUCGAUGGGAAACAGGUUAAUAUUCCUGUACCUGCGGCUACUGCGAAGGGGGACGGAGAAGGCUAUGUUGGCUGGGCGACGGUUGUCCUGUUUAAGUGUGUAUUGGUUUUCCAGCAAAUCCGGAAACUGGCUGAGGCGUACGGACGAGGCAGCACUACGGUGCUGAAGGCGACAAAUGCCCUGUUUCCGUGAAAGUUCUGCUACUGUGGUAACAUCGUCGAAAAUCAAACCGGCUUACAGGUGGUCAGGUAGAGAAUACCAAGGCGCUUGAGAGAACUCGGGUGAAGGAACUAGGCAAAAUGGUGCCGUAACUUCGGGAGAAGGCACGCUGAUAUAUAGCGAAAUUAGAUUCGGCUCUCGUGGAGCUAGAAAUCAGUCGAAGAUACCAGCUGGCUGCAGCUGUGCUAUUAAAACACAGCGCAUGUGCAAACACGAAAGUGGACGUAUACGUGGUGGCCUGCCCAGUGCCGGAAGGUUAAUUGAUGGGUUAGCGGUAACGCGAAGCUCUUGAUCGAAACCCGGUAGGCAGCGGCCGUAACUAUAACAGUCCUAAGGUAGCGGAAAUUCCCUUGUCAGGGUAAGUUCCGACCCGUACGAAUGGCGUAAUGAUGGCAGGGCUGUCUCCACCCGAGACUCCAGUGAAGAUUGGACUCGCUGUGAGUGCAGUGUACCCGCAGCAAGACGGAAAGACCCGUGAACCUUUACUAUAGCUUGACACUGAACAUUGAGCCUUGAUGUGCAGGAUAGGUGGGAGCUUUGGAGUGUGGGACGCCAGUCUGCAUGAGCAUGACAAAAUACCACCCUUAAAUGUUUUGAUGUUCUAGCGUGGGCCCCUGCAGGGUUGCGGACAGUGUCUAGUGGUAGGAUUUUGACUGAGGCGGUCUCUCUCCCAAAGAGUAACGGAGGGAGCACGAAGGUUGGCUAAUCUCGGUCGGACAUCAGGAGUUAGUGCAAUGGCAUAAGCCAGACGUGAGCGUGACGGCGCGAGGCAGUGCGAAAGCAGUCCAUAGUGAUCAGGUGGUUCUGAAUGGAAGGGCCAUCGCUCAACGGAUCAAAAGGUACUCCAGGGAUAGCAGGCUGAUACCGCCCAAGAGUUCAUAUCGACGGCGGUGUUUGCACCCUCGAUGUCGGCUCAUCCCACAUCCACAGGGGCUGAAGUAGGUCCCAAAGGGUAUGGCUGUUCGCCAUUUAAAGAGUGGUACGCAGUGCUGGGUUUAGAACGUCGUGAGACAGUUCCUGGUCCCCAUUCGCCGGGGCGCUGGAGAACUGAGGGGGGGUCGUUCAAUGAGAGGACCGGGAGUGACGCAUCACUGGUGUUCGGGUUGUCAUGCCAAUGGCACCCGCCCGGUAGCUAAAAUGCGGAAGAUAAGUGCUGAAAGCAUCUGGCACGAAAACUUGUGCCCGAGAUGAGUUCUCCUGACUCUGAGAGUCCCAAGGAACGCUGAAGACGACGACGUUAGGCCGGGUGUGUAAGCGCAGCGAUGCGUUGAGCUAACCGGUACUUCCAAUGAACCGUGAGGGUUUAACCUACAACGCCGAAGAUGUUUCU
rnacentral:rRNA from 1 species